CCUGCUUCUCUCGCUCUCUCUCUCUUUCUUACCACUUCCACGAAACCCUAGCUGCCGCCUCUAAUCUCCUCACCUCUAUUAUGCCAAAAAUAGCAUGUUCGCAGACCUGGACAGACAUGCACAAUAGUUGCAUGCCUAUGCUGGUGAGAUUAUUAAAGUUUGCCCGAUUUUAAUGCUCAAUCUUACACGAAUAUGUUUGCUGAUUUGGAAGCACAGAGACUCUCAAAUCCAUUCUUUUCUUGGCUGCGCAUUUAAAGGGUACAGACGUUCGUUUCGGAGAUCCGCCAGCCUAGGAUAUCUAUUCAGCUACUUGGGAUUGCUCCUUUGUUCCGGAGCCUAGCUUGUGGUAUAAAUCCCUUUUAUUGUAUAUAUAUAUGUGUGUUCGUUCGGGGUACGGCGGGGCCCUGUCCCGUCAUAUGACACUGUCAUUACUCUUAGAGGUCUGUGGACAUUUGUGUGGGUCUGUAUAUAGUGGUUGUUUCGUCGUAUGGAUAUGACUUAUGUUUGGGGCGUAACCAUUCGUAGUGGCAGCCUUGUCGGCUUGCGUGUAUAUAUAUAUAUAUAUAUAUAUCUUUGGGAUGUUGCGUGUAGUGGCAGCC